rnacentral:rRNA from 1 species
AUCUGGGCGGCGAAAUUCAGGAUGGCUGGGCUGGCCUCGCGCUAGUUCGGCCGUUUGAUGUUUUCGUCGCCACUCGCAGACGUCGCGACCUGUUUGUCGUCGGUCCCUGCUCGGAGGAAUCGCUGUCGAGUUCGUUGUGGGCGCGUUUCGGCGCGUUUCACGGCGAAGACGCGGAUCUCUGGCUGACGACGGACAGUAAGCAACGGUGGCCGGCGUCGUGUCUCGCACGCGACGUCGGUGCCGGUCAGCGACGAUUUCUUCGGGCCUCUUUCCGACCCGUCUUGAAACACGGACCAAGGAGUCUAACAUGCGCGCGAGUCGCGGGGUAUCGAGCGUACCACGGUGCGCUCGUUACAUCACGAAACCCGUAAUGUUGAAGGCGUAAUGAAAGUGAAUGGGGAAGAUGGCGUUCCGAGUACACGUUCCGUGAUCUGGUAUCGCGGCCGGACGCCCGCAUUCCCGGGGCGUCUCAACGGCUCGUCGCGAAUGCGGACGGUCGCCUUUCGGGGUGGCCGUCGGUCUGCGACGGACCGA